rnacentral:misc_RNA from 1 species
GUAACAAGGUUUCCGUAGGUGAACCUGCGGAAGGAUCAUUACUGAUUUGCUUAAUUGCACCACAUGUGUUUUUCUUUGAAACAAACUUGCUUUGGCGGUGGGCCCAGCCUGCCGCCAGAGGUCUAAACUUACAACCAAUUUUUUAUCAACUUGUCACACCAGAUUAUUACUUAAUAGUCAAAACUUUCAACAACGGAUCUCUUGGUUCUCGCAUCGAUGAAGAACGCAGCGAAAUGCGAUACGUAAUAUGAAUUGCAGAUAUUCGUGAAUCAUCGAAUCUUUGAACGCACAUUGCGCCCUCUGGUAUUCCGGAGGGCAUGCCUGUUUGAGCGUCGUUUCUCCCUCAAACCGCUGGGUUUGGUGUUGAGCAAUACGACUUGGGUUUGCUUGAAAGACGGUAGUGGUAAGGCGGGAUCGCUUUGACAAUGGCUUAGGUCUAACCAAAAACAUUGCUUGCGGCGGUAACGUCCACCACGUAUAUCUUCAAACUUUGACCUCAAAUCAGGUAGGACUACCCGCUGAACUUAAGCAUAUC